ACCCGGCUCACCGUUCCAGGCCGCCGAGCGCCCUCGGCCAAGGCCCGCCCGCCGGGAGCGCCCACGCCGGGGAGUGCCCGAGUGCGGCGCGGCUCCACCUCUGCGUUUUCUGAAGACCCGGGACUAGAGGCUUCUCGGUUUCCUCGUUGAGGACUUGGAGAUAGCACUACCUCAUCUGUAAAAUGGGUCUUCUCUCCUGUCUGGUGGUCGCAGAGAUCACCUCGCAAGGACGUCAAGAGCCAGCGAAGGCUCUGCUGGCCCGAAACAGCUGUGCAAACCUCAGAAUCACGCUCUUGAAUGGGACGGUCGCCGCCCCCCGCAGCCCCAGGGCGAGGUGCCCCCGGUCUGUAGGACGUGAAAUUCUAACUCUCUGCCCUGGGAAAGCCCCCUGCCGACCUCUCCCCACGGCCCCACCCGGGGCCCCGCACGUCUACCCGCCGCGCACGGGCCACCGCGCGUUCCCGCCUGAAGUUUUCGUACGCGCUGUUCCUUUCGCGUAGCCAAAUUCCACCGACCUCGAGGAAAUGCCACCUUCUCCAGGGGCCUUCCCAGACCCCCUCCCCUGCCCGCGGUCGACGGCCGCCCUGUGAUUACUGGGGGUGCGGUGGGAGUCACUGGACUCGCUGCCGAUCCUAGGAGCCCAGCACGGCGCCGCACGCGGUGGGCCCAAAGCCCGACCGUGGGGGACCUCAAACCAGAGGCCCUCAAGGCCCGUUCCACCCGGCCUGUGGCGCAGUGCUGGGCACUUGGGAACGGAGGUCCCUGUCUUCUCGCUGCAAGCCCCUCCGUGGUGCGCGCCGUGGGUCUGCGGGUUGGUCUUUUUCCUCGUUUAUGAAGUUCUUUUCACUCGUCGUUACUAUUUUGUAAGUUCACCAUUUAAAAAUUAAUAAUGCCAAGCCCGACAAACACCCCUCGGCACUUCCUCCCCUCCCCCUCUCCCGCGGGCCUCCGUGGCGGGGCGGGGCGGGCGCGUCCUGUCCCGUCCGGCCGCCGGGUGCGACGCGGCGCACGUCCGCCAGGCCCUGCCGAGGGGGAGCCG
rnacentral:lncRNA from 1 species